AACGAACGCUGGCGGCAGGCCUAAACAUGCAAGUCGAGCGGGCAUAGCAAUAUGUCAGCGGCGGACGGGUGAAUAACACGUGGGAACAUGCCCUUUGGUACGGAACAACUCAGGGAAACUUGAGCUAAUACCGUAUGUGCCGGUAACGGGAAAGAUUUAUCGCCAAAGGAUUGGCCCGCGUCCGAUUAGCUAGUUGGUGAGGUAACGGCUCACCAAGGCGACGAUCGGUAGCUGGUUUGAGAGAACGAUCAGCCACACUGGGACUGAGACACGGCCCAGACUCCUACGGGAGGCAGCAGUUGGGAAUCUUGGACAAUGGGGG
rnacentral:rRNA from 1 species